CCCUUAGAUGUUCUGGGCCGCACGCGCGCUACACUGAUACGUUCAACGAGUUUAUAACCUUGAUUGAUAGGUCUGGGUAAUCUUUUGAAUGCGUAUCGUGCUAGGGAUAGAUUAUUGCAAUUAUUAAUCUUGAACGAGGAAUUCCUAGUAAACGCAAGUCAUCAGCUUGCAUCGAUUACGUCCCUGCCCUUUGUACACACCGCCCGUCGCUCCUACCGAUUGGAUGAUCCGGUGAGCUAUUCGGACUUUCGCAUUGUCGAUUUUCGGCUUUACGAGGGAAAGUCUCGCGAACCUUAUCAUCUAGAGGAAGGAGAAGUCGUAACA
rnacentral:rRNA from 1 species